CCUUUUUUUUUUUUUUUUUUCAAAAUAUGAUAAUCCAUAUGCAUUGCAUUUGUUUAUCUUGAACAACAAGAUGUAGAGAACUCUAUAACAUAAUCUAGUGCUUUCCAAAUGUUUAAAAUUAGCAGAGCUCAAAGUUUUGUGAGCUUAAGCCUAUUAAAUUGCAGUAAACAUUUUUCAUUCCUGUUGGUUGAACUUCGAAGGGUCAAAAUAUUGAUUCUUUAUAUAUAUAUCCUUUUUGGUGCUCAUUGGAUGACCAUAAUUUAUGGAAUGGGAAAACUGCAGGCCAUGAUGAAAGAUCCAU
rnacentral:misc_RNA from 1 species